rnacentral:rRNA from 1 species
CCUACGGGAGGCAGCAGUGAGGAAUAUUGGUCAAUGGUCGCGAGCCUGAACCAGCCAAGUAGCGUGAAGGAUGACUGCCCUACGGGUUGUAAACUUCUUUUAUAAAGGAAUAAAGUGAGGCACGUGUGCCUUGUUGUAUGUAUUUUAUGAAUAAGCAUCGGCUAACUCCGUGCCAGCAGCCGCGGUAAUACGGAGGAUGCGAGCGUUAUCCGGAUUUAUUGGGUUUAAAGGGGGCGUAGAUGGUUUGUUAAGUCAGUUGUGAAAGUUUGCGGCUCAACCGUAAGAUUGCAAUUGAUACUGGCAGCCUUGAGUACAAGUGAGGUAGGCGGAAUUCGUGGUGUAGCGGUGAAAUGCAUAGAUAUCACGAAGAACUCCGAUUGCGAAGGCAGCAUACUAACCUGACACUGACAUUGAUGCACGAAAGUGUGGGUAUCAAACAGGAUUAGAUACCCGGGUAGUC